GCAAACUUGGUCAUUUAGAGGAAGUAAAAGUCGUAACAAGGUUUCCGUAGGUGAACCUGCGGAAGGAUCAUUACCGAUGGUGCAGUCGAGCCGGGCAGCUCUGCGCAAACGGGGCUGCCUGAGGUUCCUCCCAUUUCCCACCCUUGCAUACCGAACUUGACUGUUGCCUUGGCGAGCCGACGCCUAGCGGCGUCUCCCCCGGACUCCGGGGCGGCGUGCUCGCCGAAGGACCGUUGAACCCGACCUGAAUUUAGUGGUUUGUCUGAGUAAAGCUUUAAUUAUCAAAACUUUCAACAACGGAUCUCUUGGUUCUGGCAUCGAUGAAGAACGCAGC
rnacentral:misc_RNA from 1 species